CUGGCGGCGUGCCAAUACAUGCAAGUCGAACGGUCUUUUCUAUGGAAGCUUGCUUCCACUGAGAAGAUAGUGGCGAACGGGUGAGUAACACGUGGGUAACCUGCCCAUAAGAGGGGGAUAACAUCCGGAAACGGGUGCUAAUACCGCAUAGUUUUCUUGAUCGCAUGAUUGAGAAAGGAAAGAUGGCCUUUGUGCUGUCGCUUAUGGAUGGACCCGCGGCGUAUUAGUUAGUUGGUGAGGUAACGGCUCACCAAGACGAUGAUACGUAGCCGACCUGAGAGGGUGAUCGGCCACAUUGGGACUGAGACACGGCCCAAACUCCUACGGGAGGCAGCAGUAGGGAAUCUUCCGCAAUGGACGAAAGUCUGACGGAGCAACGCCGCGUGAGUGAAGAAGGUUUUCGGAAUCGUAAAACUCUGUUGUCAGAGAAGAACAAGUUGGAGAGUAACUGCUCCAGCCUUGACGGUAUCUGACCAGAAAGCCACGGCUAACUACGUGCCAGCAGCAGC
rnacentral:rRNA from 1 species